rnacentral:rRNA from 1 species
UGGGGAAUUUUGGACAAUGGGGGAAACCCUGAUCCAGCCAUCCCGCGUGUGCGAUGAAGGCCUUCGGGUUGUAAAGCACUUUUGGCAGGAAAGAAACGUCAUGGGUUAAUACCCCGUGAAACUGACGGUACCUGCAGAAUAAGCACCGGCUAACUACGUGCCAGCAGCCGCGGUAAUACGUAGGGUGCAAGCGUUAAUCGGAAUUACUGGGCGUAAAGCGUGCGCAGGCGGUUCGGAAAGAAAGAUGUGAAAUCCCAGAGCUCAACUUUGGAACUGCAUUUUUAACUACCGGGCUAGAGUGUGUCAGAGGGAGGUGGAAUUCCGCGUGUAGCAGUGAAAUGCGUAGAUAUGCGGAGGAACACCGAUGGCGAAGGCAGCCUCCUGGGAUAACACUGACGCUCAUGCACGAAAGCGUGGGAUCAAACAGG